rnacentral:rRNA from 1 species
GGCGGCAGGCCUAACACAUGCAAGUCGAGCGGUAGCACAAGAGAGCUUGCUCUCUGGGUGACGAGCGGCGGACGGGUGAGUAAUGUCUGGGAAACUGCCUGAUGGCGGGGGAUAACUAGUGGAAACGGUAGCUAAUACCGCAUAACGUCGCAAGACCAAAGUGGGGGACCUUCGGGCCUCACGCCAUCAGAUGUGCCCAGGUAGGAUUAGCUGGUAGGUGGGGUAACGGCUCACCUAGGCGACGAUCCCUAGCUGGUCUGAGAGGAUGACCAGCCACACUGGAACUGAGACACGGUCCAGACUCCUACGGGAGGCAGCAGUGGGGAAUAUUGCACAAUGGGCGCAAGCCUGAUGCAGCCAUGCCGCGUGUGUGAAGAAGGCCUUCGGGUUGUAAAGCACUUCAGCGAGGAGAAAGG